rnacentral:rRNA from 1 species
AGUUUGAUCCUGGCUCAGAACGAACGCUGGCGGCGUGCUUAACACAUGCAGGUCAUACGGGAAAGUCCUUUUCGGAGGGCGAGUACAGUGGCGAACGGGUGAGUAACACGUGGGUAACCUGCCCUCAGGAUCGGGAUAACCUUGCGAAAGCGAGGCUAAUACCGGAUAAGACCACAUUGUUCAUGGACAGUGCGGUAAAAGAUGGCCUCUUCUUGAAAGCUAUCACCUGAGAAUGGGCCCGCGGCCUAUUAGCUUGUUGGUGAGGUAACGGCUCACCAAGGCGACGAUGGGUAGCCGGCCUGAGAGGGUGAACGGUCACACUGGCACUGAGACACGGGCCAAACUCCUACGGGAGGCAGCAGUGGGGAAUUUUGCGCAAUGGGGGAAACCCUGACGCAGCAACGCCGCGUGAGUGAUGAAGGCCUUAGGGUCGUAAAGCUCUUUUAGUGGGGAAGAAACAUCCAUGGGAUAAUACUCCAUGGACUUGACGGUACCCCCAGAAAAAGUCCCGGCUAACUACGUUGCCAGCAGCCGCGGUAAUACCGUAAGGGGCGAGCGUUGUUCGGAAUUAUUGGGGCGUAAAGAGCGCCGUAGGCGGCUUGGUCAAGUCUGGUGGUGAAAUCUCACAGCUCCACUGGUGAAGCUGCAUCAGAAACUGUCUAGGCUAGAGUGCAGGGAGAGGGAGAGUGGGAAUUCCCAGUGUAGAGGUGAAAUUCGUAGAUAUCUGGGGAGGAAUAACCGGUGGGCGAAGCGGGCUCUCUGGGACUGACAACUGACGCUGAGGCGCGAAGGCUAGGGGGAGCAAACCGGAUUAGAUACCCCGGGUAGUCC